rnacentral:rRNA from 1 species
ACUGCUAUCGGAUUGAUACUAAGCCAUGCGAGUCUUUGUAGCAAUACAAGGCGGACGGCUCAGUAACACGUAGUCAAUCUACCCUAUGGACGGGGAUAACCUCGGGAAACUGAGAAUAAUACCCGAUAGAUCAUUAUGCCUGGAAUGGUUUAUGGUCGAAAUGAUUUAUCGCCGUAGGAUGGGACUGCGGUCUAUCAGCUUGUUGGUGAGGUAAUGGCCCACCAAGGCUAUAACAGAUACGGGCUCUGAGAGGAGAAGCCCGGAGAUGGGUACUGAGACACGGACCCAGGCCCUAUGGGGCGCAGCAGGCGAGAAAACUUUGCAAUGUGCGAAAGCACGACAAGGUUAAUCCGAGUGUUUUCUGCUAAAGAAAUCUUUUGUCAGUCCUAAAAACACUGAUGAAUAAGGGGUGGGCAAGUUCUGGUGUCAGCCGCCGCGGUAAAACCAGCACCUCAAGUGGUCAGGAGGAUUAUUGGGCCUAAAGCAUCCGUAGCCGGCCGUGUAAGUUUUCGGUUAAAUCUAUACGCUCAACGUAUAGGCUGCCGGGAAUACUGCACAGCUAGGGAGUGGGAGAGGUAGACGGUACUCGGUAGGAAGGGGUAAAAUCCUUUGAUCUAUUGAUGACCACCUGUGGCGAAGGCGGUCUACUAGAACACGUCCGACGGUGAGGGAUGAAAGCUGGGGGAGCAAACCGGAUUAGAUACCCGGGUAGUCCCAGCUGUAAACAAUGCAAACUCAGUGAUGCACUGGCUUGUGGCCAGUGCAGUGCCGCAGGGAAGCCGUUAAGUUUGCCGCCUGGGAAGUACGUACGCAAGUAUGAAACUUAAAGGAAUUGGCGGGGGAGCACCACAAGGGGUGAAG